CUGCCCCCGACAGAACUCUGGAUUCCUGAGCUCCUCCCGACAUUUGAACGCGCCGUUUCCCUGGUUACAGACAACACCGGAAGUGUUUGACGACGUCUUAAAACCAAAAUGCACCCACAGAGGUUUAAGGAGCGUGACUCCUCGGAUGACAUGGACCUGGACAGUCUGAGGAGCGCAGCGGCGGACUUUUACCGGGUGAACGGACUUCCUCCGGUAAUAGAGAGGGCUCUGAACGAGCUGUUCCUCCGGCAGCCCGGAGACGUUCACGGUUACCUGGCUGAGYACUUUCUCAAACUUUCAGCUCCACCAAGAAUCAGCAGGCUGAGGAGUCGGGAGGUUUACGAUGCCAGAGGUCAACUYUCCAUUGAGGCAGAGGUCCUCUGUACUGUCUGCAACAAAGAAAAGAGCAUGUCCUCAGCUGCUGUCGCCAGCUGCUUGGUGUCUAAGGAGCCUUCGCUGGAGCAGAUGUCUGGGAGUCAGGAGAGAGCUGAUCAUGUGAAGACUGCUGCCCUGUGGAUAAAUGAACCUUUGAGUGGCCUGCUGGCAGAUCUAAACCCAUGUGACCAAUCAGAAACUGAUCAAAGACUCAGCAAUUUUUUCAGGACCCAGUUCCAGGAGGCRAAAGAUGCAGAAAACACAGAGAAGCAGGAGAGUCUUACACCCAGCAAGCAAGAAAUGGUGCCUUCUUCUCCAUCACCAAUGCAGUCUAAAGACAAGAUAAGAUCUGGUAAAAAGAACAGAGAAGCAGCAAAACCCUUUCCUCCAGCAGAACAACUGGAGCCGGUUCUAAACGGCAGCAUGGCCAUUGGUUCAGUGUCACUGGCUGUAGCCAAAGCUGGGGCACAUGUGAGAGGGAUUCCCCUUUACAAAUACAUAGCUGCUCUGAGGAACCAAAAGCUUCUGGAACCCCCAGGUGCUGGUAAUCAGGCACAAAAAAAGUUUYGCAUUCCUGUUCCCCUGGUAACUCUGCUCAGCUGUGGGAAAACRUCUCCAGGAAAACUCUGUUUAUUGGAGGAAAUCCUUCUCAUACCCAAAACKGGACAAGAAGUCAAACAAACUAUCAGCAUGACCCUCGAGUUGCAAAAGGAGAUGAUGAGAAUCACGAACGCGUCAACAAAAGCCUCGGUCACCAGCGUCUUCGUGAGUGACAGCRGUACGCCAGUUGUGAGCUACGAUCGACCCGAGCAGCCUCUAGAUCUGAUCACUGAGGCCUGCAUGAACCUUGAAAUGGCACUGGGAACAGACAUUUAUUUAGUGCUGAACUGUGUUGCCCAGAACCUCGUGGACUAUUCUAAAGGGAAAUAUGAAGUUGCAUCAGGAAGUCUAAAGUCUCCAGAUGAAUUAGUGGAUUUUUACCAAACCCUCAUCGGCAAAUACCCGGCAGUGGUGGCCCUAAUUGAUCCAUUUAGGAGGGAGGACACUGAGCAAUGGCAGAAACUCAGCGAUGUGAUGGGAAAUUCAUGUUCACUACUGUGUGACAUCAGCCAUAAGCUACAGCCUCAACAUCUGCCUGGAGUCAGAGGAUUCAUUAUUAAACAAGUCAACGAGACAACAGUCAGUGACCUAAUCCAAUUCACCUCAAAGUACCAAGGAAGGUGCUCCAGGCAUGUCUGACUGGGAGGUGACCCUGGAGAAGACCCARGRCAUGCUGGRGAGACUAUGUCUCUCUACUGGCCUGGGAACACCCUGGAAUCCUCACAGAAGGACUGAAAGAGGCGCAUAUCAGCACAGAUGCCUUGUACCAGCUUUCAGCAUGGUGGYGGAGAASUGAUGGUUUGGGUUUGUUUUGCAGUGACAGGACCUGGGCAUCUUGCAGUCACUUGAGUCAUUCAUGUACUUGCCUUCAACAACAGGCAAUWAAAAGUUCAACUUACAGUAGAUCUGUAUUCAGAAUUCAGUAACACCACUCUUCAGCAAAUUAUCUGAUCAUUCUUCUUAUUUCAUUUAAACAGACAGAAAGCUGAAAUGUGAUACUCAUUUGAUAACUGACUUCACAGUUGUAACUUAUUCAUUUAACUCCACUUUGCAUCAACAGUGUUUUUCAUCAUCCUCUGCUUUCCAGUAAAACUUUUAUUUUGGCUUUCAACACUUUUGAAGCAGAAAUUGACCUGCUUUCUUGGUUUGACACAAUCUUUAAAAAAUAGUAAACUUAACUGUAUAAGACCUGGAAAAGCCAACGAUUUUACCCAUUGUUUCAGCUGAGGGCCUGAUUAUGACAGAUACAUGCUCAUGUGUGGUUUUAUUUUUGAACCAAAAAUCUACAAUUUUAUUUGGGCCAAAAAAGUUGCCUUUUUUGUGUACUGAUAAAUACUGACACUUUCUGUGUACAUGUGUGUGUGUGUUUUAACAUACAGGUUCAGUGCUGAUGGGAACAGCAUGCAGUGAUCCCUGCACUGAUGCAUCUUUCUCAGACAUGGCUGUGGGCCUGGGCCUGCGAUAUGUCAAACUGGGAG